CAGUCGCCGCGGUAAUACGAGGGGGGCAGCGUUGUUCGGAAUUAUUGGGCGUAAAGGGUGCGUAGGCGGUUUGACAAGUCUUAUGUGAAAUCUUCAGGCUCAACUUGAAGUCUGCAUGGGAAACUGCGGGGCUGGAGUAUGGGAGAGGUGAGUGGAAUUCCUGGUGUAGCGGUGAAAUGCGUAGAUAUCAGGAGGAACACCUGUGGCGAAAGCGGCUCACUGGACCAUAACUGACGCUGAGGCGCGAAAGCGUGGGGAGCAAACAGGAUUAGAUACCCCUGUAGUCCCUGUCUCUUAUACA
rnacentral:rRNA from 1 species